CAUUCAUUUCUCCUCGGCUUGGUGGUCCUUCCCAUGGGAAUUCGCUCUCACUUUCUCCUUUCAGAUGUGUUUAUCUUUCUGAUUCCCAGUGGUCCAUCCAUGACCCAAUCCCACCGUCAUUUCACCGGCUGCUGUGACCCAGAUCUGUCAGGUUUCUUGUCCUGUUUUUAUGUGGUCUGCAUCGAUCUAUGUUAUCUCUCUUGCGCACUAAGUUACAUUGUAAGGAUGCUGUAUUGGGUGACUAUCUAUUUGUACGAGUCUUCUCAAGCUUCUUCGAUUCUAUUCGAAUUUAAUUGCUCGUGUUUGUUGGCCGAGCAAUCUUCCUCGACUGCUAAGCUGAGUAGGAAGAGAACCAACUGACGAAUCAACCCUUGUAAGCAAGCUGGGUAGGGUUUGAGAGGCUGAUGUAGACAACACGAGAUGAUGAUGACGCGAACCGUAAAGGCUGUGCAGGAAUGCGAGAGAGAGAGACGCGGAAUCGUUGGAGGACGGAGAAGGAGAUGGAGAUGAAGGUAGUACGAGUUUCUGGCAAUGGACAACAGGCACUAAUGACAGAUGGGGGCGUCGCACACAUGAGAGCUUUGGAUGCUAUCAUCCACUUGGAUCUCAUCUCAGAUCUUGAUGCUGAAGCAAUCAAAACUGGCACCUGGUCAGAACAAGACUUUGGUGGUGGAUCCUCUCUCAUCAUGGUUUAAUUUGGAAGUAUACUAUUCCCACAGCCUGGAGACCCACCUCAGCCCGAUGGGGUCCAACCCCCAUUACUGCUGUUUCGGACAGGACGAGAGCUCGGAGAGAUGAAUCGUUCAAUAAUGGAGGAAGGAUUAACAUGGUCAGAUUUACUGUAUCAGCUCUUUACCAAAUGACUGGAAGGCAAUGUUGUACAUAUGGCAAUUGAUGGGAUGAUGCAUGAUAGUCUUAGGUUGAUUUUUGCUAGGCAGGUCAGGGCUCACAUCAACCGGAAGUGAGUAGAAGAAGGAGAAGAUCAACAACCUACUUUGGCUUCUAAUCUGUCUAUGUGACUCCACAAGUCAAUCGAUCAGAAAGCAACUUCAUUAAGUAACUUCAUGACGGAUAGGAGAGGCCAUAGAAGACAACAUACAAAGAUUGGGCACUACGGUGAGAGCUACAAGUAAGAUUUUGCUCACACUGUCGGUACUUCUCAUCCACCUCUCUUCCCCUUUGUCUUCAAAGUUGGAAGCGACAAAAGGAGAACUGGGCGUACAACAGGUGUCUAGUAGAAGCAAAGAGGAAUUGCUUUACUAGGAGAACUUUCAAUUGGGGUCUGCAUAUGAAACUCUCACUUUUGUAUCAGAGAAGUUGCUCCAAUAUAUAUCAAAACCACACAAAAUCCCUCUUUUA